CAUUCUGGCACCCAACUUAAUUGUCAUACUGGGGCGCUUGCAUUACAGAAAAAAAAAAAAACACCAUCGCCUUAAUCAUGCGGCAUAACGGGCAUGUUUCUGGCGGGGCGCAAAAUACGCUCAUGUAUAUGUGGUAGGAGGCAUCGUAAACCCAACCCGUUAUUCAUAUUCGUUCUCACUGCUUGUGCUCGCUCUUUCAUGCAAAGCGUGCUGUCAUCGUGGGAGGCAAUUUUCCCACACACGCCUUACAAAAUAGGCCGCUCCGUUAAGCGGCGUUGCACAAAAGGGCCUGUACUUAUCGUGACGUAUAGAAGCUUGAUCCAUACUGAACACAGAAGUUCGCUUUUAGCUGAUGCUGUUCUUGAUGUAUCCCUAUUAAGAAAUUUACAUAAAUCUGCUAACGACCUCUUUUUCUCUUCCCGCUUUUGUUCUCUCAUAUGAUGCUGCUAUCUAGGGGCAGUGUUGUGAUUCAUGCUUAGCUAGUCAGCGCAAAACUAUGGGGAGGGUGGGGGGGAGACUGCAGUUCAACAACAGAAGAGCGGGAAAGGAAAUAUAGCUCCUUUAUGGGGGCGACAUGUUGUCCCUUGAUUUCCCUUGUUCGCUCUUUCGACAGUGUAGUUAUCUUGUGGUCCCAUUUUGACACCACUGCGCCGCUUCUGAAACCUGCGCGCGUAAAUUUUGAUCAUUCAGCGAGUCUUUUAACUAACUGACCAGAGUUCACGAGGCAGCUUCUUUAGAUGGUGGAGUAUAUGUUAUCGAAAUAACGACAUCCCUGUGGUUCAAGCGGGCACGCUAGAAACGCGUUAGCCGCGUGUCCCCCAUCUCCACCCCCGCAUCGUAAUGCUUUUUGCUUUGCGCUGCCAAGUGGUUUUACAUUUCUUGUCUACACUUGAGCACAAACAUAUCACGCACCCUCGCUCAUAAAUGAGCAUGUUAAUUUUUUAUGCGCACAAAUAUUAUUUAUAGUUUUUAUCUGUGAAUUGCUCUUGAUAAUAAAAAGAACUUAAGGAAGCUGAGUAUUUGUCACUGUUUUCCGUACUGAGUUAUGUAAAUUUGCUUGCGCUUGUAUAACGUGCACGUAAGCAGCGCCCCCUCCCUUCCCAUCAGCCUUCUGCUUGGAUUGAGAGGGAAGCAAGGUAAGAAAGUAAAAUGAGCAUUUCGAAAAAAAAAAAAAAAUCUUCGUGCCCGUUCGCUCUGUGAAAAAGGAUGCCCAGCCAAGCUGUGUAUGUGGGCCCAUUAAUGGCGAACUGCAGCGCCGCCGCGGUUCGGCACGGUAUUGCACUACCUUCGGGAUGGGUUCACGUAUGAAAAAGUGUUGGUCUACGCGCGGACGCGAUCGCCCAGAUCCUAGCCAUAGACAGCUUAGCUGUAAAAAAAGGUGUCUUGCGAAGAGUUUUGUGAUUUGCGUAGGAAGUUAGUUAUGCGCACCAUUUCUCGAACCCUUUAUAGUUAUACUGAAAAGCUUUAAUUUUGCUAUUCUGUUCAUAACAGGGACCAAUUACCAGGAUGAGAAGAUAAUUGAUUCCGUAAACACAGAGAUGCUUCGCAUCUGCUGCAAUAUAAUGUACAGUUGCAGCAGCAAGGCGCAAGUACUAAACGAUGAGGACUUACAACAAAUGAUACGCCCCCUGACCCUAAGAAAGACGCACUUCUAAAGGUUUCCUGGCACUGCCGCGAAUGUGAACGGGCUCAGGACUUGUGAAACUUCGAUAAGACACAGGAAUGAAGAAUUUCGUCGUAUGGUCGAGGACUGCCAUAUCAGUAAUGGUAGCACGCUCAUAAGCUAUCGUUCGCUAUCCUUCAUAAAGAACUGCCAAAGGAACUGUCCUGCCUGAACUGAUGUCAGUCGUGCCCACGAGAGAUGGGUUGGCGCUGCAUUUGCCAGAGCAUGUGCUAAUGCGUCGCUUCGUGCGUCUUUCAGUUGAUUGCAGGCGCUUGCGUUGUCCUUUUCGUUCCUUUCGUGCCGGUGUUUUCUACGCUUGACCUUUCACAGCGUGACUUCUCUAACUGGAAUCGAGCUUCUCAAGUCUAUUGCUGCGUGUGGGAUGCUCUUCACGUGGUAUACCUAAGCUGGCAAGCUAAGCUUCGUCUGACCGAGGUAUCGAUUUCAUAUGCCCGGGGAAAAGCAGUAGUAGAGGUUCCGAAUUCUGCUUCUCCGAUUCCACAAGCAGCACACGUGUCGACACUCAGGCGUACUUAGGAGGAGAUCCGACGUGGCAAUGUCGACUGAAGCUGAAAGAAGAGAAAGACCCCUGGGAGAGCAAUAUCGAAGGCUUCUCUGCGGGUAUUUAUCUAUUGAAAGGAAUGGUGGUGUCGGUUAUGAGACAUGAUGAAAUAGUGCGUAAAAAGGAACACGGAGCCAAGGACAAUAGCGCAGAGUUUGUCGUCCCCUAAUCUUUAUGCUCCUUCUUUAGCGUUGUUUUCACAUGAGGGAUACGCGCGCUUACAGACGGUGCGCGAACGGGAUGGCAUUGAGGACGCAUUAGUUGAUCAACUAGGGCCUAUUGACUGUCACCCUUUCUUAAAGCAUGUUUCAAAGUAUCUUUAGGUGAAUCUCUCACGCACUAAUUUAUGGCGAUCAUGCCUGCUGCACGGUGAAACGUAGCUUCUAGCAGUAAAGCAGUUGACAUAUAGAUCGGCUUGUCUCACCGUGGCUUGUAUGCAUGCACACGUUUCUGCAUGCAGGCGUGUGUACUCUUGCUUCCAGUUCGUGCAUGCACAAAGGGUGACGCUGCGUACCUGACGCUGCAUAAGGCGUCUUUUCGAUGGUUUCUUGAUGUUUUGAGCUUUGUACAAUCACGCUAGCAAACAGCCGUUGGAAUGCGCCAACCGUGCACUGCACCGCUAAAACGUAUAGAAGAAUGCGCACCAUCUAGAGCAGGUGAUGUCCCUCCAAGUCUGAAGAAAUGUGGUAAUAAUUGUUGUUGCCUGGUGAAGCAAAAGAAUUGUAUUAAAAGACGGCAGGGCAACCCAAGAUAUCAUUUCAAGUGCCAUUGCUCUUUAGGAAAGACAUUUCAAUCAUUUUAUUUGUUCGUGCACGUUUUAUAUCUGCCACAUUGCUUUUGCAUGCAUUUGACAAAUGUUGGUGCGGUGCAAAAAUUCCUUCACAAGUUAUUUUUAUGCUUCGUGUGCGCUCCAUCUUUAAGAGGACUGUCCGGUCAAGAUGUUUAUUUGAUGUAUAAUAAACGUCUUAAAAUAUGGCAGUGCUCUCCCUGUGCACA